CAUCAGCUUAUUAUUAAGACUGGUUCGGAUAAAGUUUCUCUCUCUCUCUCUCUCUCUCUCUCUCUCUCUCUCUCUCUCUCUCUCUCUCUCUCUCUCUCUCUCUCUCUCAUUCCAGACGCAAUUUCGUUAGUUUUUAAUUCCUUCUCUUUCUUCUUUUAAUCCAACCGCUAUAAUAUGAUAUGAUUUUUUUUCCUUUUUUCCGUACUACUACUACUACUACUACUACUACUACUACUACUACUACUACUACUACUAGCAUCACCACCACUCCACACAGUAACAGAGAGAGAGAGAGAGAGAGUUCAUAGGAAGGGGGAAAAAAAAAAGGUAUUUCACGUAUCCCUCAGUAUUAUCUCAGCAGUCGUAGGGGAAGGACGUGCGCUCUCGCCUCCUCCGUUCCAACCACGCAUACCUAGUGGGCUUUUAAAUCUCCACACCAGUCUUACUAUUAAAAGUGGCAGUGGUGACUUAAGUGUCUUAUAAGUAGCCCAGUGUACUUAAAACCCGCGCCAGAUAAGUGCCCUAGAAAAAUUUUGGCUUAAAUUUCGGAAAAGUUUUGAAAAAUUUGUUGUUGUUGUUGUUGUUGUUGUUUGGAAGAAAGGAUUUUAUAACGUACAAGGAAGUGAGGCAGAUGGUGACUUGAAAGCAAUAGAAGCCAUAUCAAACACAUAUCAAAGGCAGUGGCAUUCAUGUGAUGGUCCAGGUCCAGAUUCCAUACAAGUUGAGCUGUGCUGGAUGGGCAUCUGCUCGUCAUGUCCCAGAGGUGUUCAUCGCCCACAUAGCAAGACUGCACAUGAACAAGCCCUCCAGACCCACCUGAGGCAUACAGCGUCACCCCAGUACAGCCCCAAGUUGGUCUGGCUAGCCCCAAUGACGAUGAAAGCAGGAAGCAUCAUUAUCACCUGCUGUGGAUGAUGAUGGUGGCUUCUACACACACA